GUCGAGGGGCAGCACGAUGUAGCAAUACAUUGGUGGCGACCGGCGCACGGGUGAGUAACGCGUAUGCAACCUACCUAUCAGAGGGGAAUAACCCGGCGAAAGUCGGACUAAUACCGCAUAAAACAGGGGUUCCACAUGGAAAUAUUUGUUAAAGAAUUAUCGCUGAUAGAUGGGCAUGCGUUCCAUUAGAUAGUUGGUGAGGUAACGGCUCACCAAGUCCACGAUGGAUAGGGGUUCUGAGAGGAAGGUCCCCCACACUGGUACUGAGACACGGACCAGACUCCUACGGGAGGCAGCAGUGAGGAAUAUUGGUCAAUGGGCGAGAGCCUGAACCAGCCAAGUCGCGUGAAGGAUGAAGGAUCUAUGGUUUGUAAACUUCUUUUAUAUGGGAAUAAAGUGAGGAACGUGUUCCUUUUUGUAUGUACCAUAUGAAUAAGCAUCGGCUAACUCCGUGCCAGCAGCCGCGGUAAUACGGAGGAUGCGAGCGUUAUCCGGAUUUAUUGGGUUUAAAGGGUGCGUAGGUGGUUAAUUAAGUCAGCGGUGAAAGUUUGUGGCUCAACCAUAAAAUUGCCGUUGAAACUGGUUGACUUGAGUAUAUUUGAGGUAGGCGGAAUGCGUGGUGUAGCGGUGAAAUGCAUAGAUAUCACGCAGAACUCCGAUUGCGAAGGCAGCUUACUAAACUAUAACUGACACUGAAGCACGAAAGCGUGGGGAUCAAACAGGAUUAGAUACCCUGGUAGUCCACGCAGUAAACGAUGAUUACUAGCUGUUUGCGAUACACAGUAAGCGGCACAGCGAAAGCGUUAAGUAAUCCACCUGGGGAGUACGCCGGCAACGGUGAAACUCAAAGGAAUUGACGGGGGCCCGCACAAGCGGAGGAACAUGUGGUUUAA
rnacentral:rRNA from 1 species